rnacentral:rRNA from 1 species
UACGAAGGGGACUAGCGUUGUUCGGAAUUACUGGGCGUAAAGCGCACGUAGGCGGAUUUGUAAGUCAGGGGUGGAAUCCCGGGGCUCAACCUCGGAACUGCCUUUGAUACUGCAAGUCUCGAGUCCGAUAGAGGUGGGUGGAAUUCCUAGUGUAGAGGUGAAAUUCGUAGAUAUUAGGAAGAACACCGGUGGCGAAGGCGGCCCACUGGAUCGGUACUGACGCUGAGGUGCGAAAGCGUGGGGAGCAAACAGG